ACUCCUACGGGAGGCAGCAGUGGGAAUAUUGCACAAUGGGGCACNAGCUGCAGCCAUGCCGCGUGUGUGAAGAAGGCCUUCGGGUUGUAAAAGCACUUUCAGUAGGGAGGAAGGUAGUGUAGUUAACACCUGCAUUAUUUGACGUUACCUACAGAAGAAGCACCGGCUAACUCCGUGCCAGCAGCCGCGGUAAUACGGAGGGUGCGAGCGUUAAUCGGAAUUACUGGGCGUAAAGCGCAUGCAGGCGGCCUGUUAAGUCAGAUGUGAAAGCCCGGGGCUUAACCUCGGAAUUGCAUUUGAAAACUGGCAGGCUAGAGUCUUGUAGAGGGGGGUAGAAUUUCAGGUGUAGCGGUGAAAUGCGUAGAGAUCUGAAGGAAUACCGGUGGCGAAGGCGGCCCCCUGG
rnacentral:rRNA from 1 species